rnacentral:rRNA from 1 species
CCUACGGGAGGCAGCAGUGGGGAAUAUUGCACAAUGCGGGAAACCCUGACGCAGCAACGCCGCGUGAGUGAAGAAGGCCUUCGGAUCGUAAAGUUCUGUCAGCAGGGAAGAGGAAGGACGGUACCUGCAGAGUAAGCUACGGCUAACUCUGUGCCAGCAGCCGCGGUAAUCCGUAGGGGGCAAGCGUUGGUCGGAAGAACUGGGCGUAAAGGGUGCGUAGGCGUUUAUAUAAGUCAUAAGUUAAAUACAUAGGCUUAACUUAUGAAAGGCAAAUAAAACUAUUUUACUAGAGUGCAGGAGAGGAAAGUGGAAUUCCUGGUGUAGCGGUGAAAUGCGUAGAUAUUAGGAGGAACACCAGUGGCGAAGGCGACUUACUGGCCUGUAACUGACGCUGAGGCAUGAAAGCGUGGGGAGCAAACAGGAUUAGAUACCCUGGUAGUC